rnacentral:lncRNA from 1 species
CUGAUUUGUCGAUGUAACAGUGAAAUGUUGAUAACCUUCAGACACACCUUCUAUCAGUAACUUUGGAGUUGUAUCAACUGCCGCAGCUGCCAAGGCUUGUUGCUGCCCAUGCUGUCCAAAGUUUUCAACCAGCUGAGUUGAAACUCUAGAGAUAUCCACGUCUGCUGGUGAUUCGAAUUUUGAGGCUUCUAACAUAUCUGACUUCAAACUACCAUUCUGCAUUGCCCCAAACUGUUCAGUUGAUAUUAUGGCUUGUACAUUACUUAUGACUGCAUGGUUUUUGGCUGUUGAAAC